rnacentral:rRNA from 1 species
GUCGAGGAUCUUCUGCAAUGGGCGCAAGCCUGACAGAGCGACGCCGCGUGAGGGAGGAAGGCCUUCGGGUUGUAAACCUCUGUUGUCGGUUAUGAAUGGCGAGGUGCAAACAGCGCUCUCGCUUGACAAAGGCCGAUGAGGAAGCCACGGCUAACUACGUGCCAGCAGCCGCGGUAAGACGUAGGUGGCAAGCGUUGUUCGGAAUCACUGGGCAUAAAGCGCACGUAGGCGGCUGGGUAAGUCAGGUGUGAAAGCCCUCGGCUCAACCGAGGAACUGCGCCUGAUACUGCCCGGCUUGAGGUCCGGAGGGGAGAGUGGAAUUCCCGGUGGAGCGGUGAAAUGCGUAGAGAUCGGGAAGAACGCCGGCGGCGAAAGCGACUCUCUGGUCGGAUCCUGACGCUGAGGUGCGAAAGCUAGGGGAGCAAACGGGAUUAGAUACCCCUGUAGUCC